CCUACGGGGGGCAGCAGUGGGGAAUAUUGCACAAUGGGCGCAAGCCUGUUGCAGCCAUGCCGCGUGUGUGAGGAAGGCCUUCGGGUUGUAAAGCACUUUCAGCGGGGAGGAAGGCGUUAAGGUUAAUAACCUUGGCGAUUGACGUUACCCGCAGAAGAAGCACCGGCUAACUCCGUGCCAGCAGCCGCGGUAAUACGGAGGGUGCAAGCGUUAAUCGGAAUUACUGGGCGUAAAGCGCACGCAGGCGGUCUGUCAAGUCGGAUGCGAAAUCCCCGGGCUCAACCUGGGAACUGCAUUCGAAACUGGCAGGCUAGAGUCUUGUAGAGGGGGGUAGAAUUCCAGGUGUAGCGGUGAAAUGCGUAGAGAUCUGGAGGAAUACCGGUGGCGAAGGCGGCCCCCUGGACAAAGACUGACGCUCAGGUGCGAAAGCGUGGGGAGCAAACAGGAUUAGAUACCCGGGUAGUC
rnacentral:rRNA from 1 species